rnacentral:rRNA from 1 species
GACGAACCGAGCGAACGUUGUUCGGAAUCACUGGGCUUAAAGGGCGCGUAGGCGGGCUGUCAAGUCUGGGGUGAAAUCCCGCGGCUCAACCGUGGAACUGCCUCAGAUACUGACGGCCUCGAGGGAGAUAGGGGCGAGCGGAACUAAUGGUGGAGCGGUGAAAUGCGUUGAUAUCAUUAGGAACUCCGGUGGCGAAGGCGGCUCGCUGGAUCUUUUCUGACGCUGAGGCGCGAAAGCUAGGGGAGCAAACAGG